CUUGGAGGUGGUCCUCUUGCCUCGGGUGAUGCAGCAGUACUCUCCAGCAUCCUCCAGAAGCAGUUUCUUGAUCUCCAGCGUGUGUGCGAGGCCUUUCUUCUUCACGAUGUAUCGCCCUCCGUCCUCCACCACGGCGUUGUCCUUCUUCCAAGUGACGGGGACGUUAGCGCUGGAGACUUCACAAUACAACAGCACAGCUUUCCCCUCCAUCACCGCCUGGUUCUCCAGCUCCUUCUCGAAGAACACUGAUGCUGCCGCUGCUCACACAAGCGUUGGAUGGACACCAGAAAGAACCAGGAUGUAGUUUUAGCUGUAAGUUUAAAUGGCGGCGUGUGAAAUACCUCUCACGUUGACCUCGGCCGUCGUCUUCUGCUCUCCCAACACGCAGCUGUACUCCCCCACAUCCUCGGGCUGGAUGUUUUUGAUGUGCAUCUCCGCUGUCUUCCCCUUCAGCGUCAUGUGAUAUCUUCCCCCCUGAUAGAUCUGGUCCUCCGCCUUCCACCACUGCACCGGCACCCCGGCCCUGGACAGCUCGCAGCGAAGCGACACGUUGCCUCCUUCAGGGGCCUCCUGGUUCUUCAGACCCAUUUUGAAGGUGAGUGGUAUCGCUGUGGGAGACGUUCACGUUGUUUUAGUUUUUCUUCUUUGGUUUAGUGUCAUGUUAGCCGGUCUAUGGCGGUCAUAAGGUAGAACUCUGAUCAAACAGCAACUAACUUGGUGCUGCAGUAUCACAUCUCUUCCCUACUUAUAAUAAAAUGUCUGAACUAAGGCCGUGCAGGACUUCCACACAAAACUCAGAUCGGUGUGAUGUGUAACAUUUAUCUGCUUUCCGUCCUUAUUUUACUCCCUUUUCACUUUCUAAUGCAUGACUUAGAAAUCUGUAUCAUCCAAAUGUAAAACAUAAAAACACACAACAUGGUUUUGCUGUCAUGUCCAGUGUUCUCUUACGCGUGAUGGUGACGUUGGCUGUGGUCCUGACGUCAGCGUGGACGCAGCUGUAGACGCCGCUGUCCUCCAGCUGAGCGUUCCUGAUGCUCAGCUCCAUGCUGCUGUUUCGAUUUUUAAUCUGGUACUUGAAAUCAUUCUUGAGCAGCUCUUGUCCUUUCCUCCACUCCACAGCGAGGCCGGGCUUCGAGAGCUCACAGUUCAACGUCACGCCGUUCUCCUCCUCCACCUGCUGGUUCUUCAACUUGGUCUUGAAUGUGAUUGGAGGAGCUGCAAGGAGAAGAACCGAGGACUGGUGUAUUUCCCAGCAUCGCUCUCCUCCACGUUGUUGAUGAUGAGUUUAGUGAGACGUCCCUCCUGUUUCAUCUCAUACUUGUAUCCUGGUCUGAGGAUCACUCGGCCUUUCCUCCAGUCCACCGGAGCUGCAGGUUGGGAGAGCUCGCAGCAGAACACUCCAGCGUCUCCUUCCUUCACCUCCAGAUUCUCCAACUCUUGUUUAAAGCUCACGGGGAUUUCUGGAGAAAAGCAACAACAAAUUAAACAAAAUCUGG
rnacentral:lncRNA from 1 species